rnacentral:lncRNA from 1 species
UUAUUAUGAUAGAUACUACUAUUUGAUGUGAUGGCUUCUGGUGUGCACAAGCAAGAUAGGUCUUGCAAUGUACGAAACAAUGAUGGAUCAUUAGAUAUAAAUUUUUUAUAAUCAAUCAUUAAGAUAAGUGUGAGUCUAUUAUAGAGACAUAUACGGGGAAAAGAAAGAAAAAAAAAACUCUAGAAACCCUCCGUGGUUCUUUCUCUUUCCUUUCAAAUCUCUGCUCACCAUACGUUUCUCCAACCACAACCUAAGAAUUGUGUUCUUCCCUGGCGUCCUCCUCUGCCACGGUGUCAUGCCGGUCAAAAUCGUAUCGACACUCUCUUUUUAAAAUGUUGGGUCCAUAUUUUUUGUUGUAUUUUUAUUUUUCUUUUAUCAUCUUUACUUCUCCUUUCCAAUUUAACCUUAAUCCUUCUUUUCUUUUUCUUUUUUUCGUUUCCUUCUUCUCCAUUACCACCGUCACCUACAACGACCAAGCUUUCAUCUACGGUGAAAAAUCCAAAUGUUUCUAGGUUGCAGCAUAAAGUAGACAAUUUUUUUCCAAAGCCAAAUCGCAUUAUAAAAAGCACAAUAAGAAAAUGCAAGAUCUAUAUGAGAUAUGGAUGACAAUGCUCAUCUGAGAAUGGAUAUUGUUCGUGACUAUGGCCAGACUAUCAGCCUCC